GGAGGGUGCAAGCGUUAAUCGGAAUUACUGGGCGUAAAGCGCACGCAGGCGGUCUGUCAAGUCGGAUGUGAAAUCCCCGGGCUUAACCUGGGAACUGCAUUCGAAACUGGCAGGCUGGAGUCUUGUAGAGGGGGGUAGAAUUCCAGGUGUAGCGGUGAAAUGCGUAGAGAUCUGGAGGAAUACCGGUGGCGAAGGCGGCCCCCUGGACAAAGACUGACGCUCAGGUGCGAAAGCGUGGGGAGCAAACAGGAUUAGAUACCCUGGUAGUCCACGCUGUAAACGAUGAAUGUUAAAUAUGGGGAGUUUACUUUCUGUAUUACAGCUAACGCGUUAAACAUUCCGCCUGGGGACUACGGUCGCAAGAUUAAAACUCAAAGGAAUUGACGGGGACCCGCACAAGCGGUGGAGCAUGUGGUUUAAUUCGAUGCAACGCGAAAAACCUUACCACUCCUUGACAUGGAAAUUAUACCUAUUCGAAGGGAUAGGGUCGGUUCGGCCGGGUUUCACACAGGUGA
rnacentral:rRNA from 1 species